AGAGAUUUCUCUCUGAUCUCUGGUAUAUAAAUAUACGUAAGAUGGAAGUAGCACGGACACGCACCACGUCCACGUUCUCGUGCUAUGAUUUGAUCGACAGUGUUAUAAGAUAGACGUGGUACGUAGUUCCUUUUUUGAAAACGUGGACGUGCGACGCUAGUGUACAACGGAGUAGACGAGUACAGACGAGUAUUCGCCGGUCCCACGAAAAAUGCCGAGAUUCUCUCACGUCUCUCUCUCUGUUUGUGUAAAUAGUAAAAUAAAUAAAAAAAAUACGAAAAGUAUGAUAUACUCGAUGUCGAGAGUUCGUAGAAAGGCCAGAAUCAUGUCGUGAAGAGAUUCAAUUCGAGAGAAAAAUAAUGCUUAAUGCCGACCGCGCGAAUCGAGGGGAGUUCGCAGGGCUAUAAUCGUACAUUUAAAUAUCCGGUGUGCGUAUCAUCACUAUCCGCUAGAUAAACGUUACACCGUUAUAUGUUCUUUUCUUUACGUAUACACGCACUUUUUGCUCGCACACGUGCAUACGGUACUGUCGGACGCGCGUAUAUACUCAAUUAAUUUGAUAGCGUCAUGUACUAACUCGAAUCCUGUAUAUACAAAAAGUUUAUAACAGCAAAAAAUCGAAUACAUACUCGAUACAUAUGAAAAUAUGGAUAUUUGAAUAAUAUCGACAAAAUAUUGCUUCGAAAUUAAAUUGCUGAUGUAAAUUGUAAUAAAAAAGAGAACACAUUUGAUACGAAAUUUGCGCACAAUUAAAAAAAAUCGACAACCCUCUCUUUCUUUCGUUUAACUGUAAACUACGCUCUGUGCGAAUAAGGCUAGAAAAAUGUGCGCAUAAAUUUUUUUUUUAAUAAAUGCUCGCUAGUCCGA